AAGAAGUUGACGUUGGAGCAAGGCGAAGAGAACACGUGACAAGUACAGACUGCCGCUUCAUUGCAUGUCGGAAAGUAUAUACCGUCACUCUAUCCUGAAGCUUGAAUAGAAAAUCUCGUAUAUAUGAGGCUCACUGGGCUUAGUUGGCGACCUUCGGGAUGUUUUUAAAGGUCCCAAUCGGCCACAAAAUGGCGCAGUCAUCAGUGCAUGGAUAACACGGGCAAAAAGUAAAUAAAUGCAAGGAAUCCAUGAGGUUUUAAUUUCUGUCAACACUUCAGAAGAUACUCAUCAGCAACAGACCAAAUUCAGCUACAUUUAUUGAAAGGGCCAGUGCAAUUCAACUAAAGUUUUCCAAUCUUUAGUAAAAGUGUUGAACAGAAAACUGUAAAAAUACACAAAAGUACAAAUGGCUGCCACGUGUAAAUAUUAAUGAUAAGGCCAGAAUAUGUUGCAGUUAUUGAUUUAGGUCAAUACCUGAACUGUAUUUAAUAUUCGUUUACUUAUAAGACAAUAUAGAAAUGUGAAAAUUAAAUGAUCACGUUUCAUGUU